rnacentral:rRNA from 1 species
AUCCGUAGCCGGUUCUGCAAGUCCCCCGCUUAAAUCCAGCUGCUCAACUGAUGGGCCGCGGAGGAUACUACAGAGCUAGGAGGCAGGAGAGGCAAGCGGUACUCAGUGGGUAGGGGUAAAAUCCGUUGAUCCAUUGAAGACCACCAGUGGCGAAGGCGGCUUGCCAGAAUGCGCUCGACGGUGAGGGAUGAAAGCUGGGGGAGCAAACCGGAUUAGAUACCCGGGUAGUCCCAGCCGUAAACGAUGCAGACUCGGUGAUGGGUUGGCUUCGCGCUAACCCAGUGCCGCAGGGAAGCCGUUAAGUCUGCCGCCUGGGUAGUACGGUCGCAAGACUGAAACUUAAAGGAAUUGGCGGGGGAGCACCACAAGGGGUGAAGCCUGCGGUUCAAUUGGAGUCAACGCCGGGAAUCUUACCGGGGGCGACAGCAGAAUGAAGGUCAAGCUGAAGACUUUACCAGACAAGCUGAGAGGAGGUGCAUGGCCGUCGCCAGCUCGUGCCGUGAGGUGUCCUGUUAAGUCAGGUAACGAGCGAGACCCCUGCUUCUAGUUGCUACUCCUGUUCUCCGGAAUAGGAGGGCUAAUUAGAAGGACUGCCGCCGCUAAGGCGGAGGAAGGAGGGGGCUACGGCAGGUCAGUAUGCCCCGAAACCCUCGGGCCACACGCGGGCUGCAAUGGCAAGUACAAUGGGUACCAAUUCCGAAAGGAGGUGGCAAUCUCGCAAAACUUACCUCAGUUAUGAUUGAGGGCUGAAACUCGCCCUCAUGAAUAUGGAUCCCUAGUAACCGCGUGUCAUCAU